rnacentral:rRNA from 1 species
AAUCAACGCUGGCGGCGUGCCUAACACAUGCAAGUCGCACGAGAAAGGGGAGCAAUCCCUGAGUAAAGUGGCGCACGGGUGAGUAACACGUGAAUUAUCUACCUCCGAGUGGGGAAUAACUGAGAGAAAUCUUAGCUAAUACCGCAUAACACUUACGAGUCAAAGCAGCAAUGCGCUUGGAGAGGAGUUCGCGGCCGAUUAGUUAGUUGGCGGGGUAAUGGCCCACCAAGACGAUGAUCGGUAUCCGGCCUGAGAGGGCGCACGGACACACUGGAACUGAAACACGGUCCAGACUCCUACGGGAGGCAGCAGUGGGGAAUUUUGCGCAAUGGGGAAACCCUGACGCAGCAACGCCGCGUGGAGGAUGAAGUAUCUUGGUACGUAAACUCCUUUCGAUUGGGAAGAUAAUGACGGUACCAAUAGAAGAAGCCCCGGCUAACUUCGUGCCAGCCGCCGCGGU